UAUUAAAGUCAUAAAAAUAUCCCGAUAAAUACUAUCAACAGAUAAAAAUUCAAAGAAAUUGGCGGUGUCUUAUAUACUCAGGGGAACCUGUUUCUUAAUUCGAUAUUCCACGAAAUUCCUUCCUUUUUUAGAAAUCUCAGCCUGUGUACUGCUGUCGUCAGUAAACCUUUAAAAGAAAGUUUACAAAAAUAACAAACAUUAUUAACGUCAAGUCAAAGUGCAGCCUAUAAAAAGGAGCUAAAUGGGUUACAAUCUACAUAAAGAUUACGAAAAUAAUUAUUUAAAUUUUAUAGAAGGUGGACUUGACAGUAAUAAAUUAAAUAAAAUAUUUAUGAACAAUUUACUU
rnacentral:rRNA from 1 species